AACGAACGCUGGCGGCAGGCUUAACAUAUGCAAGUCGAGCGCCCCGCAAGGGGAGCGGCAGACGGGUGAGUAACGCGUGGGAAUCUACCGUGCCCUGCGGAAUAGCUCCGGGAAACUGGAAUUAAUACCGCAUACGCCCUUCGGGGGAAAGAUUUAUCGGGGUAUGAUGAGCCCGCGUUGGAUUAGCUAGUUGGUGGGGUAAAGGCCUACCAAGGCGACGAUCCAUAGCUGGUCUGAGAGGAUGAUCAGCCACAUUGGGACUGAGACACGGCCCAAACUCCUACGGGAGGCAGCAGUGGGGAAUAUUGGACAAUGGGCGCAAGCCUGAUCCAGCCAUGCCGCGUGAGUGAUGAAGGCCCUAGGGUUGUAAAGCUCUUUCACCGGUGAAGAUAAUGACGGUAACCGGAGAAGAAGCCCCAGCUAACUUCGUGCCAGCCGCCGCAGUAAGAC
rnacentral:rRNA from 1 species